AGUGAACGCUGGCGGUAGGCCUAACACAUGCCAGUCGAACGGCAGCACAGUAAGAGCUUGCUCUUACGGGUGGCGAGUGGCGGACGGGUGAGGAAUACAUCGGAAUCUACUUUUUCGUGGGGGAUAACGUAGGGAAACUUACGCUAAUACCGCAUACGACCUACGGGUGAAAGCAGGGGAUCUUCGGACCUUGCGCGAUUGAAUGAGCCGAUGUCGGAUUAGCUAGUUGGCGGGGUAAAGGCCCACCAAGGUGACGAUCCGUAGCUGGUCUGAGAGGAUGAUCAGCCACACUGGGACUGAGACACGGUCCAGACUCCUACGGGAGGCAGCAGUGGGGAAUAUUGGACAAUGGGCGCAAGCCUGAUCCAGCCAUACCGCGUGGGUGAAGAAGGCCUUCGGGUUGUAAAGCCCUUUUGUUGGGAAAGAAAAGCAGCAGGUUAAUACCCCGCUGUUCUGACGGUACCCAAAGAAUAAGCACCGGCUAACUUCGUG
rnacentral:rRNA from 1 species